rnacentral:rRNA from 1 species
UACGUAGGUGGCAAGCGUUGUCCGGAUUUACUGGGCGUAAAGGGAGCGUAGGCGGAUAUCUAAGUGGGAUGUGAAAUACCCGGGCUCAACCUGGGUGCUGCAUUCCAAACUGGAUAUCUAGAGUGCAGGAGGGGAAAGUGGAAUUCCUAGUGUAGCGGUGAAAUGCGUAGAGAUUAGGAAGAACACCAGUGGCGAAGGCGACUUUCUGGACUGUAACUGACGCUGAGGCUCGAAAGCGUGGGGAGCAAACAGG